GUAGAAAUUUGUUCUCGGAUUUCGUCUCUCAACACCUCCACAAAUUUGCUCCUAGGUUUCAUCACUGCUUCAACCAACCUUCGUUCUUCAUCCCUGCACACUAGACACCACAUCACAUGUACUUAUUGUUUUCCUUUUCCUUUAGAUAUGUUGGUGCAUAUGCACGUAAAAAUGGUGGAUUUGGGUGGAUUUGAAAAAAUAGAGUUCAAUGAGAUUUAAAAGUCUAGAUACAGUCUUCGUUAAAUUUCGAAAUCCAGUGUUUAUCAAAUUUAAAUUGUGAAUUAGAUUUAAAAUCAGAUUCCAAGUCUAGUGAAGCACUUGAUCGAAUUUCAAAAUCUUAUAAAGAUUUAACCAAAUUUUGAAAUCUAUUUAUUGAAUUUUGUAAGAUGGAUACUUUUAUCAUUAAUGAAAUUUUGGAG
rnacentral:lncRNA from 1 species